rnacentral:rRNA from 1 species
CCCUUAGAUGUUCGGGGCCGCACGCGCGCUACACUGAAGGAAUCAGCACAUCUUUCUCCUUGUCCGAAAGGACUGGGUAACCCGCUGAACCUCCUUCGUGCUAGGGAUUGGGGCUUGUAAUUCUUCCCCAUGAACGAGGAAUUCCCAGUAAGCGCGAGUCAUAAGCUCGCGUUGAUUACGUCCCUGCCCUUUGUACACACCGCCCGUCGCUACUACCGAUUGGAUGGUUUAGUGAGAUCCUCGGAUUGGUCCCGGCGCGGCCUCUGGUCGUGCCGGAGUGCCGAAAAGAAUGUCGAACUUGAUCAUCUAGAGGAAGUAAAAGUCGUAACA